rnacentral:rRNA from 1 species
UACAGAGGUCUCGAGCGUUAGUCGGAGUCACUGGGCUUAAAGCGUACGUAGGCUGGCGCGCAGGCGUCGUGUGAAAGCCCUCAGCUCAACUGAGGAACUGCACGGCGAACCGCGCGUCUGAGACAAGUAGGGGCGGUCGGAACGAUAGGUGGAGUGGUGAAAUGCGUUGAUAUCUAUCGGAAUGCCGAAGGAGAAAUCAGGCCGCUGGGCUUGUUCUGACGCUGAGGUACGAAAGCGUGGGGAGCGAACGGG